rnacentral:lncRNA from 1 species
AAUAUAAAAAAAAUAUUUUCAAUAAAAUAAAAUGACCAAAAUACCCUUAAAAAAUUUAAGGGGUAUUUUGGGCAUUAUAUUUUAUUAAAAACUUAUUUUUAAUAUUUUUUUUAUAGGUGAGCCCCAAUGAGAAGAUGACACGUACCAAAUUUCAUAUUCAUAUAAUUUAUGUAAAAAUAAAUAAAAAAUUAAAUACUUUGAGACAUUGGAUUUAAGAUCAAACGAUGAUUGACUGUCUUGAUCAAAAUUGGACUGCUGGAUGGUUGGAAAAGUAUAUAUCUUCUAUGCUGUAGAAGAAGUAUAGAAACAUUUCUCAUUAGAGAUUACAUAUCCUUAAAAAUUACGUCUAAAAGUCCAUCUCAAAAAUAGACUUUUAAGAAAGUGACUCAUUUUUACAUGGGCUCGUAAAAACCGUAUCCUUUAAAAUGGACCUAUUCUAGGAUAUUGUUGUUUUGCAAGAUGAUCGUGACGAGCAUGCUCAUGUAGAAGCAUAGUGUGCAUUAAUUCCCUGGGGCAAAAGAGAUAUUUUGAAAUAUUUUUAUACGAAAAUUUGAGAUCUACAUGAGAAUCAUUAGAUGGUUACUUUUAAAAGAAAUUAAAUUUGGAGUUCUUCAUCACUCUUGCUCUCCAAAAGUUUGCAUUCUUCUGUAUUUGAGGUUGGUCUCUAGGCUCAAGAGUUCAUGUCCCCAAAAUUCAAGGUCUUAAAAAUACUCAUAGUAUGAGUUCUACUUGAGACCAAAUGGACAAUAAGCUUUUCCAGGACCAGCAUAUCUUUUACAUGUACAACAAUUUCCAUCGGGAGCAAACUGUAUAUUAACUCGCUCGGGCAAAAGCCAUUAAAGUCGGGCAAAAGAGUAAAUUUCGAGGAAUAUGGGGAUUCCAUCCACCAAAAGGUUCCAAGGCAUUGUUGUAAGAUUAUGUCUUUUGCCUUAAAAGGUUUUUAUUUGUUAGACUAAAUAUGGGUUGGUUUCUUAGCAUGAUUGGGGUUAACAUAUUCUAUGACAUUCCUUUCAUUUUCAUUUUGUAAGUAAAUUGGCAUGGCUUCCAUUUUGUAAGUAAAUUGGCAGCACGCUGUCCCUCUAGAUGGCCGGUCGAUGCUCCCGACUUUCGGCGUGAAGUGGCG